GAUGAACGCUAGCUACAGGCUUAACACAUGCAAGUCGAGGGGUCUCAACGGAGCUUGCUUCAGCGAGACGACCGGCGCACGGGUGAGUAACGCGUAUCCAACCUGCCCUUCAUAUUGGGAUAGCCUCUCGAAAGGGAGAUUAAUACCGAAUAACAUGAGAAAGUUGCCUGAUUUUCUCAUGAAAGCUCCGGCGAUGAAGGAUGGGGAUGCGUUCCAUUAGGUAGUAGGCGGGGUAACGGCCCACCUAGCCUACGAUGGAUAGGGGUUCUGAGAGGAAGGUCCCCCANACUGGAACUGAGACACGGUCCAGACUCCUACGGGAGGCAGCAGUGAGGAAUAUUGGUCAAUGGGCGCAAGCCUGAACCAGCCAAGUAGCGUGAAGGAAGACUGCCCUAUGGGUUGUAAACUUCUUUAUACGGGAACAAACGAUAGUACGCGUACUAUUUGUCGUGUACCGUAUGAAUAGCAUCGGCUAACUCCGUGCCAGCAGCCGC
rnacentral:rRNA from 1 species